UUAGCCUUUCAAGAAGAUGUUUGAAGAAAAAAAAAUACUAUUUUCUUAAAAAAUUCCUGCAAGAAAUUAAAGCAGUCCUUGAGUCUUGGUGGCAGAGGGAAUCUACAAAGGAGCCCAGUUCUCCAGUUUCCCC
rnacentral:lncRNA from 1 species